ensembl:rRNA 5S_rRNA 5S ribosomal RNA
UCCGCUGCUUCAAAUUAUCCUGCUUAGCUUCAUGGUUGCCCACUGAAGCUAAGCAGGGCUGAGCCUGGUCAGUACCUGAAUGGGAGACCUCCUGGGAAAACUAGGUUGCUGCUGGAA